rnacentral:rRNA from 1 species
UACGGAGGGUGCAAGCGUUAUCCGGAUUUACUGGGUUUAAAGGGUGCGUAGGUGGGUCUGUAAGUCAGUGGUGAAAUCUCCGAGCUUAACUCGGAAACUGCCAUUGAUACUAUCAUUCUUGAAUAUUGUGGAGGUCAGCGGAAUAUGUCAUGUAGCGGUGAAAUGCUUAGAUAUGACAUAGAACACCAAUUGCGAAGGCAGCUGGCUACACAUAUAUUGACACUGAGGCACGAAAGCGUGGGGAUCAAACAGG